CCUCCUCCCUCCCCUCCCCUCCUCCCUCCCCUCCCCUCCUCCCUCCCUCCUUCUCUCUUGUCCUUCGGCUCUUUUUUCCGGGUUAAUUACGUUUCGCAUUAAAGCAAAACCCAGCCCCGGAUGUGAGUACAAUGCUCCGCCGAGCCCGCCGGGGGCGGAGAGGGGUGCUGGGGCGCCGCGGGCUGGGAGGGGGCGCGGCCGGGCGCGCGGGCUGCGCGGACUCGGCGGGGGCGGGGCGCCCGGAGGCGGCCCCAGAGGCUGCGCGCCGGGACCACCUCGGCCGCGCAGGGGGAGGCCCUGCUUCCGACGCCGGCCCCGGGCAGCAGGUGUCCGAGUGGGAAAGGGGCCCGGGGAUAAGGGCAUCCUAGAAACAGGGAGACGAGCCGGCCCGCGGGCUCACUCUUUACCCCGUUUAUUCUUCCCAAAGCACCCACCUCCUCCCCCAGCCCGCUCCAGCGACUUCAGCCGGGCCUUCCCCGGACCCAGAGCCUUCAGCCAUCGGGGUUUAGGGUUAGCGUCGAAGGAAGCAUCUCAGAUUCUCCCGGGUUGUCAUGCAUGUGCCCCAGGAGCCCAAGGGGGUCGUAAGUUCUAACGGCUGUAUAGGGACUUUUUCAGAGCGUGGCGCAAAGACGCCUUUCCAGCCCUCGGAGCGGGAGGGAGCUCUGGGGGAAAAUGGGAAACAGACAAGCAGCAGGUAUUAAGUAAUAUUGCCAAGAGGAACCGAAGAGAACUGUCGGGUGCCGGUGCAGCCUCUGCGUUACCGCAUUUGAUCCACGCUGCAACCCAAUGGGUAUCAAUCCCCUUCACGAUGAGGAAACCGAGACUCAGAGACGUUAAGGAAUUUGCCCUGGGUCCCACAGUUAUCAAUGGCUCGUCUGUCAGGUUCUGAUGCCGGCCUCGCACGUGAGGAGAUAGAUAUUUCAAUGUACAUGCAGCCAGGCACAUAACAUUCGAAACACAGAAACGUAGUGGAUUGACCCUGGGAUGGAGGACCGACCGGGAGCUGCGAUUCCUGGGGAUUUUGGUGCAAAUAUAGUUGAUAAGGUCGAGUCCUAGUUACAAGGCUUUGACGCAGGGGAGGGCCGAAGAAGACCCUUGAGGCUAGAUGGGCGGGAUUGCGGGAAAGGCGGGUCCACGUCCCAGUGUUGGAAGGGGAAAGGCAGACUGUUAAAAAGUCUCCAGGACCUGAGGCAGCAAAGCCUGGGGGAAGGGGGGCCCCAGCCAGACGAGCUGGGAGGAAGGUAGGACCACGCUCAGCACACACCCCGAAAGCACUAGUGAUGAAACCACACGUUUCCUCUUCCAUUUUGAUUGCCAAAGCAAAAAUGAACCGACCUGCUCUCUCAGGUGUGAAAAAAGACUGUUUGCUUUAGAACAUUUUGCUUUGAAUGAGGAAGGAAAGGGGGACACAAGAAAAAAAGCAUUUCCUUUGAAAUAAAUACAUCAACGUCAAUUUUUUUUUUCUAUCUGCUCAUGAAGAUUUUUGCCACUCACAUAAAUUUCAGGCAGAGCAUAUACUCUGGAACCAGAUGGCCUGGGUUUGAAUCCCAGCUGUGGUGCUUAUUAGCUUUGAUCCCAGAGCAAGUGACAACUUUUCCGUGCCUUAUUUUCUACAUCUGGAUGCUUACAAAGAGUGAAUGAGCUAACAUUUGUAGAGUGUUUGGAUUACUGCCGAACGUGAAGUAGGUGCUAUGUAAAUGUUUUUGAAUUUAAAAAUUAGAUUAUGGUUUUCAGGGUGAAAUGGAACAAAAUUCCAUCCAGCUCCCAGUAAAUCCGACUGGAACGGAUGGUUUCCAGUAUGAGCCAGGAGGUAAAAAGUCUCAGAUUCCAUGGUAUGGUUCGUAUUAAAACCCAUAAAACUCUAGUCCCUGUGGGGCCUGCCUGAGUUAUUCAGUCACAGAGCCACAAAUAUUUCCUGAGCACUACUGUAUUGGAUGCCUGGGAGGCAAAGCUCGGCGAGAGGAUGCAAGUGUUACUGGGAGGUUGACGCAGCCUUGUAUCCCUCCUGGAAAUGCCAUGAAAAUGGCACAGAGUGACAAAGUACUACCAACUUUUAGAGGAACAAGACGUGUGUGUGCGCGCACACGCAUCUGUUUGGGAGGGGUCCUCGAGAAGGAAGUAGUGAAUUUUGAAAUGGGCCUGAGAAGAUGGGGACAAUUUGACUCCAGUGUUGGGCUGGGGUGGGGGUGGGGGUCAUCGGUGCACUUUGGAUGAUGCUUGUACUUCACUGGGAUCCCCGUUUACUGCCACAUUUAUCGCUAGCCAGGACCUGGCCCCAGUUAGAUUACAGUUUCUUCUCUGACUCCUGUAUUUCCACUGUUUCCUCAGAGGUCUCCUGCCUCCCCCUCCCAUAGUGGCACAGAGUGUCAAUUGAGUCUGAGCCCUGCUGUGGUCCUUUUGCCAUCCCCGACACAUUUUGAAAGUAUUUACAUUGACUGAUUUUAUGCAUUCAUUUUUUUCAGUGCAAUAAACAGCCCGGAUGUCUGAAAAUGUGACUCCGCCUAUUGGGAAAGGAAUGUCAAAAAAGGCCUUUCACAUCAGCUAUCUCAGUCCCCUGUUGUAUCAGUGCAAGAUGAGCUUCAACAAUUUGCUGAAGGUUUUGCAGCUGUGUUCACGGCUGGGUAACUAGAUGCCCUAACGACCUUCAGUGGUGAGCCAGGGCACCCUCUGGGGAACCACAUUGUGCUCUGUCCUUAGAGACACCCAUUAUGGAAGGUACCAGGCUGAAGCUGGGGCCGGGUAGUUCCGUUGGGGAAAGUGUGGGACUGAAGAGGCCAAGGUCAGUGGUUGAUCCUGGUUCAGGCCAGUUAAUUUCGCACAAAGAUGAAUUGCUCCAAGGCCAUCGCACUUCUAGUGCUAGCUGGUCAUUUUAUAAAGAGUUGUUGUUGGUUUCAAUAGCAAAGUACCAUCCAUUUCUAGAAAGAUUACUCAAACUACUAUUGUUCUAUUCAGUCCUAUUCAUUCAGCAAACAAUUAUCUGAACCUAUUAACUAUUUUUCCUCCCAUAUAUCUUGUACUUACUUAUUUUCCAGGAACUUACUAAAUGUUAAUUGCUUUACCUGUAUUGUCUCAUUUAAGUCUUACAACACUGGGAGUAAGGUGCUACUAUUUCCCCAUUUUAUAGAUGAGAUGACUAAAACAUGGAGACCAAGCCUAGUUACAAGCCUGUGCAGUCUGACGCCAGAGCUGGCCCCCUCUUAACCACCAAGUUUGUGAAGGAUUCAGGAAGACAUAAAACAAGACUCUUUCCCUCCACAUUUUCGAUAAUUAUCAUCAUUUAGAAUCUCCUUUCCUUUUCAGCUAGCAAUUUCAUGUCCAAAGAUUUGUCCUACAGAAAGUCAUCCAGAGAUAUAUAUAGUAUAGAUGGAGUGUAUGUUUAUGUGUAUAUACGAAGUGUAUAUCUGGAAUAUAUAUACACAUUUGCUGCAGCAUAAUAGUGAAAUUUGGAAAUCACUGUCAUUCUCAUCAGCAAGGGAUUGAACAGCACCAAGGAAAAGCCGUGUGAACACACAGCAAGAAGGCAGCCGUCUGCAGUCCUAGAAGAGAGCUCUCACCAGAGCGCAACCAUGCUGGCAACCCCAUCCCGGACUCCAGCCUCCAGACUGGGCUUCCCUGGUGGUGCAGUGGUUAAGAAUCCACCUGCCAAUGCAGGGGACACGGGUUCGAGCACUGGUCCGGGAAGAUCCCACAUGCCGCAGAGCAACUAAGCCCGUGUGCCACAACUACUGAGCCUGCGUGCCACAACUACUGAAGCCCACGCGCCUAGAGCCCAUGCUCCGCAACAAGAGAAGCCACCGCAAUGAGAAGCCCGCGCACUGCAACGAAGAGUAGUCCCCGCUCACCACAGCUAGAGAAAGCCCAAGCACUGCAAUGAAGACCCAAUGCAGCCAAAAAUAAAAUAAAUAAAUUUAUAAAAAGAAUCCUUUCUAUUUCUGAAUUUUCCAAGUAUUCUUCAAUAAGCAUGUAUUAUUUUAUGAUUAUAGGAAAAAAGUUAGCUUUAUAAGCAAAUAGCUAGUUUUUAAUUUAAAAGUACCUCAGAGAUCUCACAGCUGCUUUGUGAUUUAAAAAAAAAGCAACAACAUACCACUAACUUUAUCUUCAACUUAAAAAUAAUUGUGUCUUUGAUAUAUUUUUCAAGAAAUUUUAGCCAACUUUAUAUCCAUUCGUGUUAAAAUUCCUGCCACUGGAAAAGAUAUACAAAACUGACUGGCAGUUUGAACCCCGAGAACUGGUGAAACUCAGUAUGAGUCACUGGAGACAGGUAAUUUGCUAAGGAAUCUUCUUUCAAAUUUCAUCAUAAUUUGUAUGAUGACUCCACAUGUCUGUCAAAUGUUGUUAAAAUUAAGUGCAACACUAGGCUGGAGGUUUUAGCCCAGUCCAGCUUAACUCCUUCAUUUAGGAAUUAAACAAUAACAAGCUAGAUUUAUCCUUACACCUAAUGCAUAAUGAUGGUUUGGAUGUUCUAAUUGGAUAAGUGGCCAAAUGCUCCCUCCAGCAUAUAAUGUCAGAAGAUGUCACAGUCCUGGUUUGCUGCAAAGACAUAUCAGGAACAUGGUCCUGACCUGGAGGUCACUUUCUGGUAACUUCAAUCCCUGGAACAGAACUCUGAACCGGAAGGUAAGAGGGGAAGAGCCUCUGCGUAGCCAAGUCCCUGCAUCUUCAUGGAGAUGCCUUUCUUAGGCUUGCUCUUUGAUUCUGGCUGAAGAUCUAAUUUCAGAAGGUCCAGUUAUGUGGUUUCCCAGUCCUCAGUGGAUUAGAAACCAAGAAAAUAAAAAAGCUUUUGGAGACGGAGGAGGGAGGGGGAGGAGAAAAUGACUUUAUUCAGUUCAUUCCUCUCUGUAAGUGGAUUAGCUGACAACAACAAAGGAGGGAAAGAAAAGUUAACAAGCAUUCCCAGAGGUUAUAUGUGCCCCAGACAAUCUUCUUCAUUCCCAGUGAUGACCUUGGGGUAGGAAAAUGUGUUUGAACUGUGAUCAGAAAUUUUCAUAUAGUUUUGCUGGUAAGAGUGGUGGCCUCUGGGGAGGAGAUCACUUCUGAGGUGGUAAGAGGAGACAGGACUCAUUCAUGCUCUUGUAUAUUUUUCAGAUAUUAUAUUAUGUGCAUUAUGUUUCUUUUGCUUAAAAAUAAAUUUUUAAAAAAUGAUUUAAUGCCCCCACAAAAGACUUUACAAAUAAAAAGUACAUAAAAGAAAAGUAUAUAAAUUAAAAUAUUGGAGACCUGAAACCAUAAAACUCUAGAAGAAAACAUACUGGGUGAGCUCCUUGACAUUGGCCUUGGCAAUGAUUUCUUUGGAUUUAACACCAAAAGCAACAAAAGGCAACAAAAGCAAAAAUAAACAGUUGGGGCUACACCAAACCAAAAAGCUUCUGCACAGCAAAGGAAACCGUCAACAAGAUGAAAAGGCAACCUACGGAAUGGGAGAAAAUACUUGCAGUAUCUGAUAAGGGAUUAAUAUCCAAAAUAUGUAAAGAACUCAUACAACUCAACAACAAAAAAACAAACAAUCUGAUUUUUUAAAUGGGCAGAAGAACUGAAUAGACAUUUUUCCAAAGAAGAUAUACAGAUAGUCAACAGGUACAUGAAAAGAUGCUCAACAUCACUAAUCAUCAGGGAAAUGCAAAUCACGACCACAAUGAGAUGUCACCUCACACGUAUCAGAAUGGCUAUCAUCAAAAAGACAGCAAAUGACAAGUUGGCAAGGAUGUGGAGAAAAGGGACCCCUCAGGCACCGUUGGAAUGCAAAUUGGUAUAGCCACUAUGGAAAACAGUAUGGAGGUUCCUCAAAACAUUAAAAAUAGAACUACCAUGUGAUCCAGCAGUUCCACUUCUGUGUAUAUAUCAGAAGGAAACAAAAUCACUAUCUCAAAAAGAUAUCUGCACUCCCAUGUUCACUGCAGCAUUAGUUACAAUAGCCAGGACAUAGAAACAAAGUGUGUCCACUGACAGAUGAAUAGAUAAAGAAAAU